UGUCCUCAAUUUCGAACUGGCAAUUUAAUCGACAGCUCCACGUAAACAUUUGUAGUUUCAAGUGAAGUACGAACUCGUUUAUUUGUUAUCUACAGUCGUCUUUGCUUCUUCAACAACUGCUAUGUACGAUUAUUCCAAAAGUCCAUGGAGUGAUAUGCGAUGAGUCUGGACUGACAGAUCUGGAGAACAAGCACUUGGCCAAGCGAGCCAAACACAGUCAGAAGGAUGCUGGUGAUGGCAGCAGUAACUCGGAUGACACUACUGAUAGUGAUGAGGACCUUCCCGAACAACUGGUACAUAAUCCUCUACUACCUCUUCCCCUAGCAUUCA